rnacentral:lncRNA from 1 species
ACGAACUUAAGAGCUGGAUAAAUAUGCACAUUAUUCAUGAAUCAGAUGACUCAAUUUCUAAAAAUUUAACAAUAUUUUUAUUGUGUUAAAAUACACAUAAAUUUACCAUCUUGCCUUUUUUUUUGUACUAGGAUUUGAACCCAGGGGCACUUAACCACUGAGCCACAUCCUCAGCCCUUUUUUAAAAAUAUUUUUUUAGCUGUUGAUAGGCCUUUAUUUUAUUAUAUGAGGUGCUGAGAAUUGAACCCAGUGCCUGCCUCACACAUGCCAAGCAAGUGUGCUGCUGCUCAGCCCCAGCCCAUUUUUAUAUUUUAUUUAGAGACAAGGUCUACCUGCAUUGCUUAGGGCCUUGCUAAGUUGCUGAGGCUGGCUUUGAACUUGUGAUCCUCCUAAGCCACUGGGAUUAUUGACCAUUUUUAGGUAGACUUUUCAGGAACAAGUACGUUCAUGUUGUACAACCAACACAACCAUCCAUCUCCAGAACUUUUUCAUCUUGCAAAACCGAAACUCUGAUCCCAUAAAACAACUCCCCAGUCCUCCCUGCAGCUCUUUCAACUACUGCCCUGCUGAGCCUCUACAGACUUGGCUGCUCCAAGUAUCUUGUAUAGAAAGGGAAUUGUACAUUAUUUCUUUGUGUGACGGCCUUAUGAGAGUUUCCCUAAUCUCUUGAGGGUACCACUUCUUUCUACAUUACCAUCUUCUUUUGAGUUUAGCUAAUUUUUUGGUUAAAAAAAUACUAAAUUCAUUCAUCAUUUCUUUUUCAUAUAUUCUAGAGCUCUUUUCCUUCUGUUACCAUGGAGACUGAAAUGCAACAGUGGUCCACUUUAUGCUUUGAAUGUAGCCCUUGCUGAUCUUCCGCUGCAACUUAUUUUAAAAAUGGACCUGUUUCUGGGGCUGGGAUGUGGCUCAGCAGUAGAGCACUCGCCUGGCACGGGCGGGACCCAGGUUCGAUCCUCAGCACCACAUUAAAAAAAAAAAAAAAGAGGCAUUGUGUUGUGUCCAUCUACACCUAAAAAUAAAUAUAUUUUUUUUAAAAAUGGACCUGUUUCUUUCUCUUCCUCUCUCCCUGAUCCUCCUCAAUCUUAGGGGGAACAGGGUCACCUUCUUUCCCAUCCUAGGCAGAGUUAUCUGUCCCUGAGCAUGCACCCACCCUGGGAACGAAGUAAACAAGACUUUGGGGAUGGCACCAGAAGAUCUCAGAAAUGACUGUCUCCCAAAUUAACAAAUCACAAUUCAACAGAGAACCCUGGGAUGUAGCCUUUGAACCACCUCUCUAACAGCCCCCUGUUCCUGCAGAGGGGCAGAAUCACAGCCUCUGGGGCAGCAGUCCUCUGUGUUUCCCCUUUGCUAUCAAAGCAAGAAGCCUUUUUUCUCAAAAUCAUAUCCUUGUUGCUAAAAGCUUGGUCCUUGUCCCUGAAGCCAAUCCAAUAACAAGGACAUGCUUUUGAGAAAAAGGAAAAAAUUAGUUUAUUGCUUUUAGGAAGGAUAGAUCAGGGGAAAGAAGAUCAGGGAGAAGUUGAGGGAAAAAGAUAUCAGAGAAGAUCAGGGAAAAGUUUAGGAAAAUGAGGAUUAUAGAGGAGAAGUUGAGGGAAAAGUAGAUCAGAGAGGAUAAAAAGCUUGGGGAAAAGAAAAAAAAAAGUUCUAAAGCCACAGGGAUAUAGUCAAAGCAUCAAGUGGACCCUGUCACAUCCUCAUUACUGGAUUGGCAUCCGGGACAAGGACCGAACUUUGGGCAACAAUUACUUUAACAUUCUAAGACUUUAAUGUUCCAAUUUGAGUUUGUGCCAUCUUAACCUCAGUAACGCAUGCCAAAAAUGUGCCUCCUCAUACCUCCAUUCUCAACCCAUUUAAGGUGCUAAUGUGACAAAAUCACGUUUUUACACUGUCCAAGAACAAACUAGUAAUUGCACAUAUAAAUAUAUAUAUGUAUAUGGGGGAUACCAGGGAUUGAACUCAGGGACACUCAACCACUGAGCCACACCCCAGCCCUAUUUUGUAUUUUAUUUAGAGACAGGGUGAAGGGAAAGCAAGGAACAAGAGAUGGGUAAGCAAGAAAUGAAAGAUGAGACCAGCAGGCAGAGAUGCGCAGGAGAGUGUAUUGUCAGAGUUGACAAAGGCCAUCUCUGUGGGAGAGUCUAGUUCUGGGACUUUUAUGGGGAGGUUCAGGAGUGAGAGACGGGUGGGUCCCAAUGCGGGUGGAUAGGGGUUGAGUUGGUGUGAGGGAGUGCUGAGCCUUUCUCAGAAAGGCCCUUGGGUGGGAAAGCAAAGGCUGUCAAGAUGGCCAUCCACAUGCUAAGCAAGGACCUUAUAUUCCCCCUUUUUUGUGUGUUUAUUGGGCCCCUUAGGGAACAGGGACAGGUCAAUCUCCUAUAACUGCUUCCUGCUGGGAAGGGGUGUUUGAAUCUCUCAUUAGGGGUGCAGGAUGUCACUGGAAUCAUGAUGGAGGUCAAGUGGUGGUGGAAUACUGUCCCCGGUUCCCCAAUUUUUGGUGAGCGAUUGGUAUUCCUAUAAUAAAAGCUGGUUUACAGUUUGGUUAGAGAUUAUUUGGACCUGGUCUUGAGCCAAUCUAAUGAUGCAGGGGACAAGCUUAACAGAAGGCCUGUGACAAGGAGAGGGGUCAGGAGAGGAAGUGCCCACUGGAGAAGGGGUGACUUGGUGGCCACCUUCAGCAGAGGAGAGCUGUUGUUUCUGACCUUCAAGGUCCUGUUGGAGUUGUUUAUCUGUCCUUUGCUCUACAGAUUGAUUGACACCAAACAGCAUUCAUCCUGUAGAGACAAAGUCCGCCUCUUUUGGCCAUGAAAAGAUCAAGGCCCCUUGGAUUCUGCAGAACCACAGCGGCUGAAGAAUCCAGCUGGGACUGGGUGGUUAGUAUGGUUUGAGCAAGUUGCUGUGAGUCCCUAGAAAUUGGACUGGUAACUCCUGGUGAGUGCAGAAGGAGGG